UAACCUAGUAUAAUUUAUGACAUUCUAUUCAAGUUGCCAUUUCAGGCAUGUUGUUUAUGAAGCCACAGAAAGUCGAGCUAGUUGGUCGGACUUCACGUUUGAAAGAAAAGCUAAGCGAGCUGACACGGACACAAGUCGAGGUAGAGGGGCUCAACAUUAAACGCGUGGUGGACUGUGCUGCUGUUUUUCACCCUGAAAUAAGAACAACGACGAUGCAUAUUAUUUCAUUGAGCUCGAUUCAACCAUUGCAUGAUGGCAUUACUCAUACAUAUCAUAUAUACGUUGGAAUUAUGAUGGCCCAAGCUGCAGAUUAGCCCUUCUUGAAUCAAGCUGCGUGCACCAAGAAAUAAGCUAAUUGUAUUAAUAAAAAAAUAAAAAAA
rnacentral:lncRNA from 1 species